AUCACCUGUCAGGAACAUCAGGAGAAGAGUUUUAUUUGCUGUGGUUUGAAGUUGUUCCUACAUAUUACCUGUUGGACAGGACAAUAUAAAGAGAUCUGGGUUCAUCUUUUAACACAUCAGACUUUUUAAGGACCUAUAGACAGCCUGUGAAGAGACAGACAAACAGUUUCAAUCCUUACGAGAUCAAAGCGCUCUUCUCCACUCGUUCCUGCUCCAGCUGCAUCUUCUGCCCAUACUCUCGUUCUCUGAUCUCCCAGACGUUCUUCAUGAUGGAGGCAUCACAGGCGACCACCUCAGGGUUCCUGUCACUAGACAUCUUCAAACUGCUUCAAACUCCCUGCAAACAGAGAGAAAAGGGUGAAUAAACCUCUGAAGAAUCAUUGUUAUAUCCACAUUUUUUCUCUUUUUUUAUAAUA